CUGAGGUUGAAGUUGAGUAACCAGCAUGAGAUCUCACAGUGAACCGGACCUACCUCUGGCGCCAAGACUUGGAAUUGUGUGCGGGAAGGUGAAGACAAGUUCUUAAAGACCACUUCCUGCUAAAGGCGUUCCUCACCUGUUCUAGGAAUAAGAGAAGAGAAUUAGGGAGGAAAAAGGAAUAUUUCUGGGCCAUUCUCUUUCCGGGACCACUUCUAAAACUGUUCCUGAAGGGAGAAAGGAGACAGAAAAAUGGUUGUCAGGUGGAACUUUGAUGGUAACUAGCUUCUGCAAUUGUCUCAAGUGUUGACUACAGAAUGUUACAAACAAGCUUCACUUUUCUUCAAUGAAGAGAAAGAAUGUUGCUAUAAAAUGCU